rnacentral:rRNA from 1 species
UCGGAUCGUAAAACUCUGUUGUUAGGGAAGAACAAGUACGWGAGUAACUGCUCGUACCUUGACGGUACCUAACCAGAAAGCCACGGCUAACUACGUGCCAGCAGCCGCGGUAAUACGUAGGUGGCAAGCGUUGUCCGGAAUUAUUGGGCGUAAAGCGCGCGCAGGCGGUCUCUUAAGUCUGAUGUGAAAGCCCACGGCUCAACCGUGGAGGGUCAUUGGAAACUGGGAGACUUGAGUGCAGAAGAGAAGAGUGGAAUUCCACGUGUAGCGGUGAAAUGCGUAGAGAUGUGGAGGAACACCAGUGGCGAAGGCGACUCUUUGGUCUGUAACUGACGCUGAGGCGCGAAAGCGUGGGGAGCAAACAGGAUUAGAUACCCUGGUAGUCCACGCCGUAAACGAUAGUGCUAAGUGUUAGAGGGUUUCCGCCCU